rnacentral:tRNA from 1 species
CGGCUUUGUAGCUCAGGUGGGUAGAGCAGCCUCUUUGAGGAAGGUCGCCGGUUCGAGACCGGUCAAAGCAA